rnacentral:rRNA from 1 species
GCUGGCGGCGUGCCUAAUACAUGCAAGUCGAGCGAACAGAUAAGGAGCUUGCUCCUUUGACGUUAGCGGCGGACGGGUGAGUAACACGUGGAUAACCUACCUAUAAGACUGGGAUAACUUCGGGAAACCGGAGCUAAUACCGGAUAACAUAUUGAACCGCAUGGUUCAAUAGUGAAAGNCGGCUUUGCUGUCACUUAUAGAUGGAUCCGCGCCGUAUUAGNUAGUUGGUAAGGUAACGGCUUACCAAGGCAACGAUACGUAGCCGACCUGAGAGGGUGAUCGGCCNCACUGGAACUGAGACACGGUCCAGACUCCCACGGGAGGCAGCAGUAGGGAAUCUUCUGCAAUGGGCGAAAGCCUGACGGAGCAACGCCGCGUGAGUGAUGAAGGUCUUCGGAUCGUAAAACUCUGUUAUCAGGGAAGAACAAAUGUGUAAGUAACUGUGCACUNCUUGUACGUGUACCUGA